ACGGAAGGCAGCAGUGGGGAAUAUUGCACAAUGGGGGAAACCCUGAUGCAGCGACGCCGCGUGAGUGAAGAAGUAUUUCGGUAUGUAAAGCUCUAUCAGCAGGAAAGAAAAUGACGGUACCUGACUAAGAAGCCCCGGCUAACUACGUGCCAGCAGCCGCGGUAAUACGUAGGGGGCAAGCGUUAUCCGGAUUUACUGGGUGUAAAGGGAGCGUAGACGGCUUUGCAAGUCUGAAGUGAAAGCCCGGGGCUCAACCCCGGAACUGCUUUGGAAACUGUAGAGCUAGAGUGCAGGAGAGGUAAGUGGAAUCCCUAGUGUAGCGGUGAAAUGCGUAGAUAUUAGGAGGAACACCAGUGGCGAAGGCGGCUUACUGGACUGUAACUGACGUUGAGGCUCGAAGGCGUGGGGAGCAAACAGGAUUAGAUACCCUGGUA
rnacentral:rRNA from 1 species